UACAGAGGUCCCGAGCGUUGUUCGGAUUCACUGGGCGUAAAGGGUGCGCAGGUGGGUUGGCAAGUUUGAUGUGAAAGCCCCGGGCUUAACCCGGGAAUGGCAUUGAAUACUGCUGAUCUGGAGGAUCGGAGGGGGGACUGGAAUUCUUGGUGUAGCAGUGAAAUGCGUAGAUAUCAAGAGGAACACCAGUGGCGAAGGCGAGUCCCUGGACGGUACCUGACACUGAGGCACGAAAGCCAAGGGAGCAAACAGG
rnacentral:rRNA from 1 species